CUGUACUCCUCGCCGGUGUGACCUCUGAUUCUCCACGGCGGAGAGAAGAUACGCGAUAUCCAGUUCACGCCGCACAUUCGCCACGCCGGGCGCUCGUUGUGGCCAUAUCGAUCGAACGCGAGGAGCAACCCAUCGGCCGCGCCUUCAUCGGAAGAGAAUAUUUCGCUAGAAUAUUAUUAGCAAGAGCUUCAUCGAGUUGUUAACUGCCCGUGUACGGGUGCAGUGUACACCACCGAGCUGAAUUUACAACGCGCCGACUGUACUUCGGGCGAUUUAUACUUCGCUCGAACGACGGCGAUAUCUGCACGUCGGAGCCACCUUGAAUUAUGACGGAGUCAAAACGGGAGAGAACGUUCGUAGCUCGUGUUUGUUCACGGAUACCGGUUUUGAUAGAUGAUACUGGCGAAUGAAGUUCAAUGGAGCAGCAAAAUUGUUACUUUUUUUACCCGUGUAUUGUUUUACAGUAUUUUUACGUAGUUUGUACAAUUCCUGUAAUUCUGUGAUCGCUACGUCUCUUGUGAUUAUGAAACUUAUUAAUUUUGUGCAUUACCAAUAAAGAUUAUUAUUAUUAUUGCAAUUAUUAUAUCAUAGCUAAUCGAAUUUUGAAGAAAUUUUUUGUAAAAAAUAUAAAGUUUCAACGCAUUUUUUCUAAUCUCGACAUCACAAUAAUUGAUCUUUACUUCCUAAAUGUAUCAUUUUGAAGAAAUCACAAGGGUAUCAUGAAUUUAAAACCGUUGAAAAGAGUCGAUGGACAAGAAAUAUAAAUUGAGAUAUAGA